AAAUUGAAGAGUUUGAUCAUGGCUCAGAUUGAACGCUGGCGGCAGGCCUAACACAUGCAAGUCGAACGGUAACAGGAAGCAGCUUGCUGCUUCGCUGACGAGUGGCGGACGGGUGAGUAAUGUCUGGGAAACUGCCUGAUGGAGGGGGAUAACUACUGGAAACGGUGGCUAAUACCGCAUAACGUCGCAAGACCAAAGAGGGGGACCUUCGGGCCUCUUGCCAUCAGAUGUGCCCAGAUGGGAUUAGCUAGUUGGUGAGGUAACGGCUCACCAAGGCGACGAUCCCUAGCUGGUCUGAGAGG
rnacentral:rRNA from 1 species